UUUUUUUUUUUUUUUUUUAAGAUUUUAUCUAAUUAUUCAUGACAGACACACAGAGAGAGAGAGAGAGGCAGAGACACAGGCAGAGGGAGAAGCAGGCUCCAUGCACCGGGAGCCUGAUAUGGGAUUCGAUCCCGGGUCUCCAGGAUCGCGCCCUGGGCCAAAGGCAGGCGCCAAACCGCUGCGCCACCCAGGGUUCCCCCGCUACGCCACCCAGGGAUCCCCAUCCCGGACUUCUGACCCGAGUCCUGCAUGUGGGGGUCAUGUCCCCCAGCACACACUGCAGAGACAGCCCGUAGUGGGGCAAAGCCCUUCCUCUGCGGGCUUGCAGCAGGGGAGACGCGUGGGAAGGAGCCCACCAAGGCUGAGGCAUACAAAGGGUGGAGCCAUGUCAAAGAAAACUCCUUUUUCUAGGGGGGACGUGCCAGCCCAGGCCCGUGUGUCUGCCAGACCUGCCGCAGGCCCAGCCCCAAUUGCCAGGGGGCCUCUGCUUCCUCCUUCCUGUUCUUGAAGGAAGAACAGGGAAUGAGGGCAGGACACAUGGAUCCCACACCUCUUCUGCGCCAGGAGCCUACCUAGGUUCUUGACACUUAGCUCAUUCACACCUCUUCGCCAUGCCACCCUGUAGGUGAGGCUCAAGGGCAUGGAGGUGGGCAUCACUUGGCCACGCAGCUGAAGAGCAAACACGGAGCUGAGAUCCUUGCACAGAUCCCUGUGCUCCCACCACACCCCAGCACAGCCUCGCAGCUCGGCAGGCUUCAGGGAGGGUGCCAUUGUCCCUCUCUCCUAGAGAGCAGAGAAAGAGGUGAUGGAGGGAGCCAGUGGUAUGGACCCCAGCAAGGAGCCCAAAGGGGAAACCAGUCUCCAGGGGCUCCCUGCAGCUUCCUGCAGCAACCUCGCCAGCUCUUCAAGGGGGGUGCUUGCAGGGAUCCUCCUGGCUUUCCCUGGCUUGUGCUGACUUCCCUUAUUGAGCUCAGACUCUGCUCUGCUGGAGGUGGGGUCAGUCAGGCUUUGUCCGGCCCCAUGGAUUUAUCCGCCUUCCCUCUGGCAACCCUUCUCCUGGCCACAUGGGCAGGGCCCCUUCUUCCAAACUCUGCUUCCUUCCUACCAACACCGUGUAGCUAAGAUUGGGUUUUCCGUGAUAGCAAAUCAGCAAAAUCUGAUGGUUAGUACAGCUCAGAUCCCAGCUCUGCCAUCACUAGCCAUGUGACCUAGAGGAUGUCUCUGAACACAUCCACAUGUCCGCGUCUUCACCUGUGAAAGAGAAAUGAUGAUAGCAUCACCACACGUGAGUAACAAGAACAACUCCUGGCCGGUGGUCCGAGCUCUGUAUGUCUUCACUGGUACUGUCUCUUCCUACACAGGCCUCAUGAAGGGUGGGUCAUUCUGCAGACCCAAGCCUGGGAGGAAAUCAGAGUGGGCUGGAUGGAAACCAGCCCGUGGGCCUGAUGAACUGCCAUAUGGUGCUUUUCUCAGAACCAUAUAAGGGAAGAACAAGUUCAUGUGCCAGGUGGGGAGCUGAUGGAGGCCAAGGAGGGAAAUAACAGAGACAUGUUUUAAAACGUUCUUUUGGGGGGCACCUGGGUGGCUCACUCGGUUAAGUGUCUGCCUUCGGCUCAGGUCAUGAUCUCGGGGUCCUGGGAUCGAGGGCCGCAUUGAGCCUGAACUCCCUGUUCAGCGGGGAGUCUGCUUCUCCCUCUGUGCCUCUUCCUGCUCGUGCUCCCUUUCUCUCAAAUAAAGACAUAAAAUCUUAAAAAAAAUCUUAAAAAAAAAAACACAAAAACCUCUCUUUUUGCUUGCUUGCUCCAAAGCCUGUGGCCUCCCAUAGCUCAUUGUCAGGUUUGCAGGACUCCACACCGGGAGGGAAGGCAGGGGGUGUCUUUUCUAUAGGCAGAUGCAGCAAUUCCAGGUCAUCUUGUGGAAGAGCCCUCAAGGAAAGGUGGGGCAGCUGGGGGAGGAGGAGGAAGUGGACCAGCCCAUCCUCAGAGAGAUGCGAAGGGCCUGGCACACUGACAAGCUCAACCACCGGCAGGUCCUGCUUGGUAGCAGCUGUGGGCAAAGCCAACGUGAACAUCUUUAGCAGACUGCGUUUUCUCCUUGUUUCUUUUUCCCUGCAAGAGAUUCCUUAAAGAAAUUAAGUGUUUCUUAAAAAAAAAAAAGGUAAUAACACUCAGAACCCUCAUAGCCAGCCCUAAUUCCUUUUCUGGAACAUUUGUAUUUAUCUAUCUUCCCCACCAGGCUGCCUCUGAGGAUGAGACUAUCUGUCCUGCGCACCACCGUGUCCUGAUGCACUGUGCCCGAACAAACGAUUGAUAUGUAUUUGUGGACAGAAUGAUGGAAAGAGGGAUCUGAAAACCUGGGAGACCUGAUGAGGCCUCUCAUGUGUGAAAGGGCCUCCCAUUAUACGCUUCCAUGGAACCUGGUACUUCUCAUGACUCUUAUCACAUUUUGCAAUUACUAUGAAUUUGUGGAAGUAUUACAUUGAUGCCUCUGAAGGCUGUGACUGAUUUGUUUCUCAUUGUCUCCCCUGUGCCUGGUACAGUGCCUUGUACCUGCUAGGUGCUCUGCAAACAGGAACUGUAUGAGUGAACGAAUGAAUAUGUGCAAAAGGCACUAUGGGCUCAGGUGACUCUGAGCUCCAGCAGCGCAGUGAGAGGUGGUGGUGGGGAGGGGUUUGUGCCAUAGCUGCAGGGGUUCAAAACCAGUCAGUUGUUACUAGCUGUGUGGCCUUGGGUUGGUUACUUACCUCUCUGUGCGUCACCUUGUUUAUCUGCAUGGUGGGAAUAAUAACAAUACUCAUUUUGUAGGGCUGCAAGAGGAUUAAAUGAGUCAUACAUGGAGCAUGCUUACAGGUGAGUCUGCCCCACGUUAAGCACCACCAGAAGUCAUGUCUUGUUGUUAUCAAAGUGCCUAGCAGUGAGCUCCCUCUUGCUUUAACCCUGGAGAAUUCUCAGGGUCUCAGGCUCAGCUUCUGGAAAAUUCUCUCUAGUAGACAGGGCUAAUAACGAGACCCAAGGAAGAAGCGCAGGGUUUACAUUUGGAUCGACCCUCCCAGGAUUUGCUAUCCCCACCUGCCCGGGGCCUCAAAGAUGGUCCUAGGCAGUGUGUUUGGGGUGCGGCCUGGCUCCCACCCCUCUGGCUGCUCCCCACAGCAUGGAGCUGGCGUCCCUGGCCUUCCCUCACCACCCGCCUGGCACGGAGCUGACUCACCGCCAGGAGGGGUGGUGAUUAGCAUGCAGGGCAGGUACCCGGAGGAAAGCUGUCUCCAUGCAACAGCUCUUGAUGUGUUUCUCUGAUUAAUGUGGCAGAGAGAACAUUGCAGCUUUUUCCUGAAUGGUCGCCACGUGGAGCUGGAGUCAUUAGCAUCACGUCUCCCGCUUGCCAUGACCUGCUGACCACCCUAAGUAGAUAAAAAUGAAAAUGGCCAAGAC
rnacentral:lncRNA from 1 species